rnacentral:lncRNA from 1 species
CAGCAUGCUUGCACGGAAGAAGGUUGACUAGCUCGACGUCACACGUGACGCUUCACUGAUGGACGAUAUUAUUCAGAGUGAUUACAAAGAUGUUGCAUAUCGAGUCUGGGAGAAAGGUAGGGACACAAUUAAUCCAAACAAGAUAGGUUUUCAAAUCUUAGCCCAAAUAUAAUUUAUAUUGAUUCUACCCAUACCAUUUGUAUGUUGCAAUUUUCUUCCAUAUUGUUGAUUUCAUCCUUUCUAAUAAGCCGAUCGAAUAGUGAAUAAUCCAUUUCCUGUAUAACUCCAAGCAAUGAAGUCAGUCGUAUU